AAGACUAUACUUUCAGGGAUCAUUUCUAUAGUUCGUUACUAGAGAAGUUUCUCUGAUCGUGUAGAGCACCCGAAACCACGAGGAGGAGGCGCAGCGUUCUCUCCUGAGCGUGAAGUUGGCUCUUGGUGUUGCUUCUGCAACUCGUUCUUCUCUCCUUAAUGGAGAGUAAGAGGGAGAGAACGCAGUCUGAGUGGC
rfam:Myotis lucifugus cont2.30765, whole genome shotgun sequence.